GGGGUAAACCUGCGAAACUCGAAUGAACGAACGGAGAGAUUCAUCGUCAUUCCGGGGCGUACGUGAGCGCUCCACGAUGUGGACGGUACGACUCGUGCGUUUCCGUUCACACGGGACGUUCACGUCUAACGUUCUCGGACGGCGUGCACUUCUCUCUAAGUAAUACAUCGCGACCCGUUCCGUACAAAUUAUCUAAGCGCCUUACGGGAGCCCAGGACGUGUACUUUAACCGGUACACGUUCGCGGACCGUAUUUGAUCGGGUAAGCUGCCGAUAAUUGCGGGACGGUAUUUAAAAUAUGACGACGCGCACGCGUAUUGAACGCGUCCGGCCCGACGCAAGACAACGUCGUCUUACACGAUUCCCGUUCUGCCCGAGCGCGAGCGGGGAUCCGGCGCGUCUGUUGUCGCCGCCGUGCCGUCUCGGACUUGUGCGCGUCGUUUUGAAAUUUGUAUGUCUGCGAUGAUUCAGUUUCGGGCACUCGCAGGACCCGUCUUGAAACACGGACCAAGGAGUCUAGCAUGUGUGCGAGUCAUUGAGUUUAUGAAUUUUUUAACAGACAAAACUGAAAGGCGCAACGAAAGUGAAGGUGAACGCUUGUCGUUCGCUCAGGGAGGAUGAUCGCAUUGCGGUCUCGAUCGGGCGAUUCGCACUCCCGAGACGUCUCGUUUCCAAUCCGUGAAUGCAGGCGCGCUC
rnacentral:rRNA from 1 species